CUAUACGGCGAAACUGCGAACGGCUCAUUAUAUAAGUUAUCGUUUAUUUGAUAGCACCUUGCUACUUGGGUAACCGUGGUAAUUCUAGAGCUAAUACAUGCUAAAAAUCCCGACUCCGGAAGGGAUGUGUUUAUUAGAUUCAAAACCAAUGCCCCCUGGGCUCACUGGUGAUUCAUGAUAACCGCUCGAAUCGCACGGCCUUGCGCUGGCGAUGGUUCAUUCAAAUUUCUUCCCUAUCAACUUUCGAUGUUUGGGUAGUGGCCAAACAUGGUUGCAACGGGUAACGGAGGGUUAGGGCUCGACCCCGGAGAAGGAGCCUGAGAGACGGCUACUACAUCCAAGGAAGGCAGCAGGCGCGCAAAUUACCCAAUCCCGACACGGGGAGGUAGUGACAAUAAAUACCGAUAUAGGGCUCUUUUGGGUCUUAUAAUUGGAAUGAGUACAAUUUAAAUCCCUUAACGAGGAACAAUUGGAGGGCAAGUCUGGUGCCAGCAGCCGCGGUAAUUCCAGCUCCAAUAGCGUAUAUUAAAGUUGUUGUGGUUAAAAAGCUCGUAGUUGAACCUUGGGCCUGGCUGGCCGGUCCGCCUCACCGCGUGCACUGGUCCGGCCGGGCCUUUCCCUCCGCGGAACCCCAUGCCCUUCGCUGGGCGUGGCGGGGAAACGGGACUUUUACUUUGAAAAAAUUAGAGUGCUCCAGGCAGGCCUAUGCUCGAAUACAUUAGCAUGGAAUAAUGAAAUAGGACGCGCGGUUCUAUUUUGUUGGUUUCUAGGACCGCCGUAAUGAUUGAUAGGGACAGUCGGGGGCGUCAGUAUUCAACCGUCAGAGGUGAAAUUCUUGGACCGGUUGAAGACUAACUACUGCGAAAGCAUUCGCCAAGGAUGUUUUCAUUAAUCAGGAACGAAAGCUAGGGGAUCGAAGACGAUCAGAUACCGUCGUAGUCUUAGCCAUAAACUAUGCCGACUAGGGAUCGGGCGAUGUUAUUCUGUGACUCGCUCGGCACCUUCCGAGAAAUCAAAGU
rnacentral:rRNA from 1 species